rnacentral:rRNA from 1 species
CCUACGGGUGGCAGCAGUCGAGAAUUAUUCACAAUGGGGGAAACCCUGAUGGUGCGACGCCGCGUGGGGGAAUGAAGGUCUUCGGAUUGUAAACCCCUGUCAUGUGGGAGCAAAUUAAAAAGAUAGUACCACAAGAGGAAGAGACGGCUAACUCUGUGCCAGCAGCCGCGGUAAUACAGAGGUCUCAAGCGUUGUUCGGAAUCACUGGGCGUAAGGCGUGCGUAGGCUGUUUCGUAAGUCGUGUGUGAAAGGCGCGGGCUCAACCCGCGGACGGCACAUGAUACUGCGAGACUAGAGUAAUGGAGGGGGAACCGGAAGUCUCGGUGUAGCAGUGAAAUGCGUAGAUAUCGAGAGGAACACUCGUGGCGAAGGCGGGUUCCUGGACAUUAACUGACGCUGAGGCACGAAGGCCAGGGGAGCGAAAGGGAUUAGAUACCCCAGUAGUC